rnacentral:rRNA from 1 species
UACAGAGGUCUCAAGCGUUGUUCGGAUUCAUUGGGCGUAAAGGGUGUGUAGGUGGCGCUGUAAGUCGGGUGUGAAAUUUCGGAGCUUAACUCCGAAAUUGCAUUCGAUACUGCGGUGCUUGAGGACUGGAGAGGAGACUGGAAUUCACGGUGUAGCAGUGAAAUGCGUAGAUAUGCGGAGGAACACCGAUGGCGAAGGCAAUCCCCUGGGCCUGCACUGACGCUCAUGCACGAAAGCGUGGGGAGCAAACAGG